AAGGAGAGGAUAAGUUUUAUAAAUUAUAAAGUGAUAAACCAUAUGUUACAUAUAAACUGAAAAAUAUGGCUGAAAUUGUCAAAUGUGUUUAUGUUAUGGCUAUUUUUGUUUUUCUAUUUCUUGUUGCAGCAAAUGUUGAUGUGAAUAUUCCUUGUGAGAAUCAUGCUGACUGUCCUCAUUAUAUGUGUGCACAUCCUUUGAAACCGAGGUGUGUGCGCUUCCGUUGUGAAUGUAUUGAUCAUUGGAACCCAUUAAAAUUAGUUCCCACAUGAUCAUGUAUUGCUGUCAGACACAAGAGACCACACAAACCUCUUGCUACAAUAUUUCCCGAGCUAUCAUUUACUCCAUCCGUCUCAAAAUAUAAGGAAAAAUUAAUCAAGAAAGUUGAUGUAUUUGAUUAAGAAUUUGUACUAAAUACAUCACCUUUGGUUGACCAAUUUUCUCUUAUAUUUUGGGACGGAGGGAGUAUUUAUUGUGUUAGUAUCCAAUAAUUUGAAUAUUUUAUAUUUGUUAUAUCAAGAACUUGUAGUUAUGAAUUUUUACACUAAGAUGAUGUUAGUGAAAUAAAAAUAUGAAAGCAAUAAUGUUAUUUA